rnacentral:lncRNA from 1 species
UUUAUUUCUAUAUUUAUAUUAAUUUUUAUAUUUAGUUCUAUAUUUAUUUUUAUUUAUUUUUAUAUUUAUAUUAAUUUUUAUUUUUAUAUAGUUAGCACAGGCCUUCUGAGAAGUGCAUCUAUUCCAGUUAUCUUGGAGUUACAGAAGUCCAUUCUACAAGCAAAGGAAAGAGGUGACACAACAUGUAUCUUGAGGUCUAGAAAAAAAAUGACAAUACAAAGACGGGGUUGUAAUGAGUAUCCCAAACAACCUAUGAACUCGACAUACUAGAAUGGAAGCCAAUCAGCAAACACCUGCUGUAUACCAGGAACAACUCCAGAUUCAUCAAGCUUAAUUUCUGUCCUGUCCUGCAAUGCACCUAAAGAGGAAGAGGACAAAAAAGACUUCCACAGCUUGACAGUGAUGGAAAACAUAAUAGUAGUACAGAGAGAUUUCAACGCUAAAGUAGAAAGUAAGAUUUAAGGAAGAGAAAGAGUCAUUGGAAAAGGUGUAAGGUAUGAAACAGACAAUUGCAGCAUGUAGAUUGAUUAUGUUAUCCUGAUGUCGUUUUGGAUUUUUUCAUCGGCAACUGCACCCUAUGCGCAUCGUACUCUCAACUUAUCGAGGCCCUAUAUAGGUUACCUAUAUUGACGGGGGAGAGUACUCUUACCAACCAACAGCCAUAACCCCUAAUAAUGGCACGUGACUUUUAGCCAAUGGUGUACCACGUGAUCGGAACUGCGCGCCAUUUGCAAAGUUGUUUCUACACUUUUCGCAACAGGAAUUAUCAUCAGCCGUCAAUUCCAAUACUGAUACAUGUGUUGGACUCUUCAAUAACCGUACGUAUAAUUUAUAUACUCUAAAUUAGCAUAGUUAUUGAGAUUUUUGUUCCAGAAAUGUCCAAGCUCAGUGCAGAAUAUUAUAAGAGAAGAAAGAUUAGAGUACACAUUAACGCAAUAAAUGCACAAGUUUUCGAGAGAGAAGUAGAAAUCGGGCCCAGCAGUUCUGAACGCUUGCAAUUUGAUAAUUCUUUAGCCGUUAGCGAUGCAGAGAAUUCGGAGCUGUCAGAAUUUCCUCAAAUAAAUUGCGAUUACGAAAGUGUAGGUCACGAACUUUACCAUUCGAAAGCAACAGAAUUUCGACAGUUCCUUCUGUUUACUGGUAUAGUAGCGUUAAAAGGCCAUGUUUCUUACAGGCAGUAUAAUAAUUUUGUCUCUUAUUUAUUAUUUUGUGUGUGUGUGUGUCUUGCAAGUCCUGGGCUGUGUGUGAGCUAUGCUGAUUAGUCUCAUAUAACCUUUCAUUUUUAUGUGUUCAAGAAGCAGAGCGUUUGUAUGGUAAGGGAUUUUUGGUGUAUAAUGUACUUUGCUUUGUCACAAAUUGCUGAUACUGUGCCUCUGAAUUUUAUACCUUUUUAGGCCCGCUUAAACUUGUUCAAGCACCAAACUUUCCGCUGUAGCAGGUAAUUAAGAAUAUUUGACAAAGUGCAGCAGAAGGAUUGUGUUCCCAGUGGUGAACCCCAAAAACCUCAUAGAGAUAGUCUGUUGACAACUGAUUGUGACUGGAAGUAUCAAUUCAGACAAAUUAACUUUAAUGGCAUUUUCUCUACAACAAAUGGCAAUGACUGUAUAAUAGUCAAUAAUUUAUUUUACUGUUAUUCUAGAUAGCUGGCUGCUGGCAUUUAAAGAUGAAAGUGAUCACAGGAUGUGCAACUGGCCACCACAGUCUGUUGAACCAGAUUCCUCAUGUUCUAUGCUUCCAGUUCUCCUGCACAAGUCAUUAACGCCCCUUGUCUGGUGUUCUUCCUGCCAGCACAGGGACCCACAACCCCUUGGAAGGUAAACAAGAUAAACUACGGAAAGCUCUACAGCAUAUACUGUCUCUUCUGGAAGAGAUGAAAACUGACGUGAAAAAUAGGCUUGCGCAGAUGGAGUGCCAAACCCAAGAAAAGGAGCUGACAUCUGCCACAAGGGUUACAGUUUCCCUUAAAAUCUUCAGAGGAUGUAGAAUGUCUCAAGUUGGAUUUAAAGACAGAUCCAGGAAAACGUGCACGCUUGGAAUGCUAUUUGGCAAUGAGGGGAGGCUUUAGCUUAAAGCUCGUCAGGGGUAUACUGUCUGUGCUAUUUUCAACAGAAUUAGCCCGGUGUUACAACUAUAAUGGCCUGAAGAACCACUCCUUUAUUUUAAGAACAGUUCAGGGAACUUCGAGAGGGGACCCGCUAAAGUGGACGAGGUUUUCAAGAGAAGUCCCCAACAGCGGCAAGGCCCAAGAGCCUCCCUAUGCCUACUCCAUUUUGAGUCUGACGUCCGGGGCGGAGUGCAGUCCGUCGACGUCUUGGAGUGAUAUUCCGGGACCCAGUGUUCGGAAUACGUAGCAGCGUGGAGUGUGUAUUUCUGGUGUAGCAUUGUGUGAGCGCCAGAUACGGAUAUCCUGGAGGAAAACGUAGCAGCUUGGAGUGUGUAUUAGUGUGUUGCGGGAGUGUGUCGGUGUACCUGCACGUUCACCGUGGACGGACUGAGUGUUUCUGACGCCGAGAUACGUCGGACAUUUUGAUGCUUGCUGAAGUGACUCUGGCAGACGGUAACGUAAGUGUAUUCAUAUUCUUUAUCAGGGAGACCCUUUGUACUCUGGACCAGGUUCCAGAUUGGUGCUCCAACCUCCGUUACAGGACGGAUCAGUAACCAAUGUAUUACAGAUGUUUUGACGAGUGAGAGGUAGAGAUGUGUAUUUUUUUUUGUGUGUGUUAUUGAGGCAGCAGAGAAAAGUUUGUGUAUCUAUACUCUUCGUGGUACUCUCUAUUUUUGUUUACCAUUUGUGUACGACCUGUUGACGGCUAUCCGCCUAGUGCGGGCGUAAGUACCAGCGCCCAGCGGGCUAUGUGUGUAAAGAAAGACGAGAAGCCCAUGGGACAGAUCGUUGUCUUGUGUGUUGUUUGAAUGCGCAUGAAUACCAUGUGGGACACGGUGUGUGACAUAUUUGGUGACCCUGACGUGAUCUGUCGUGUUUGGUAUUGUGUUGUGCGGAAGCUGUCUUUUGUCGCUUAUCAUUUUCUGUUAGCACUACAAUUUUUUUUUAGUGAUUCUUUUGUGCGUGUUGUGGUCACCGUUUUUGGUUGCCACCCAUUGCCUCAUGACUUUAUUUUGAAAAGUGCUGCCAGAACUUGUUACCAGCACUUUGUAUUUUUUUUUUGUUUAAUUAUCUGGUAUGUGCAGUUACGCCAUGUGUGAUCCUGUCUCCAGUUUUACGGGUCUACGGGUGUGUAUAGUUCUACCCGUAGUAAGGGACUAGUUACUGUGCCUUCCUGUCUCUCGUCUGUCGCUAAGUUUUUCUGUUCUUCUUGAUUGGAUGUGUGAGUGAGUAGGAGUAAGAAGUCUUUUCUUUUUAGGGUAGCUUUUGCUCUCUUAAAAUUUUAAGAAAAAAAUUUUGGGCUUUCUCUAAUUCUCUUUGCCAUGUGAUGCUGAGUGUGAACUUAUAACAAUUUAGUUCUUUCUGUGAUUCAUGUCGUAGUUUUGAGUGGAAUUUGAAAAAGAUUUGACAAAUUCCUUGAGAAGCACUUUACCUUUCAUGAUAUUUUGUUUUAGUGUAAGUGUAAGUGAAUGCUAAUUGUUUAGGUUCAGACUUAGCAUUAUGUUCAUUUAGUUUUUAUUUAUUUUUUUUUUGUGACAGUGACAAUUACUGCAAAUUAAUUUUGUGUUGAAAUAUUAUCUGCAAUAAGUAUUGUGUGACUUAAUUUUGUGUUUGUAGAUUGCAAAGUUAUUAUUUUUUCUCUCUGAUUAUUGGUGAUUAUUUUGGUCUUGCUUGUAUUGUUUUGUAGUUGUAUUUCUCUUUAAAUUUACCUUGAAAAUUGAUUAUGUAGCUGAGUUGACAUAUCUCACUAGAGAUAUUAGUGGAUUUUUGUGAAUUAGUGAGAUUAGAGGAUUUUUUAUGUUGAGAUGUGAGAACUGAUUUGAAAAUCUUGUGU